rnacentral:lncRNA from 1 species
GAAAAAUUAAAUUAAAAAAAAAAAGAAUGAAUUUGGACCCCCAGCACUUUGGGAGACCAAGGCAUGAGCUACUGCGCCUGACCUCCUUUGACCUUCUUAAGCUGGCCCUUUCUUAGUCCUGUGGCUUCAUCUUCUGCGUUACCCUCACCCAGGCUUGCCCUCCAUCUCCAGAUUCACUAAAUGAUUUACUCUGUCUCACCUUUGGCCCACUUCACCGCAUGCUGCUUCUUCUACUGGAAAGUCUCCCUGCCUCUCUUCCCAUAUCACUUGGCUAUUUUCUCUAAUGAUCUGGCAGGUCUAGGCUUAGAUGUUACAUCUUCCAGAAAGCCUUUCCUAAAUCCUCAAGAAUGUUUUGGGAACAGCAAUUCUGUGCUCCCAAGGACCCUGUACUUAACCUCAAUGUGAUGCUUAACACACCUGUGUAUAUCUUACUCCCAUAAAAACCCUCUUCACAGAUAGGAGCUUUUUUUGUGCCUGGCAUGUAGUAGGCACUCAAUAAAUAUCUGAUGAGUCCCAGAAGUAAAGGAAGAGGACAAUUUUGAGAAGGAAGACAUAAUUAGAACUGUGUAUUGCUGCAGAAAGUUAGGGAGAAUGAGAUCUGAAAAAGUCACUGGGUUUUGACUAUUCUCGUCAUGACAAAUAGGGAAGAGUUUCAGUAGCAUUGUGGAUGCAGAGGCCAGUGUGGACACAGAAACCAGAGUUAAGGAAUGAAUUGCUGAUGAGUGAAGCUUUAGUUACAAACUUUUUUUUUUUUUUUUUGGAGACAGGGUCUUACGCUGUUGCCCAGGCUGGAGUGUAAUGGCAUAAUCAUGGCUCACUGCAGCCUCAACCUCCUGGGCUCAAGU